CGCGGGGUAGAGAAAUGGUUAUCUCGGGAGGCUCAUAAUCUCCAGAAGCGGGUUCAACUCCCGCCCCCGCAA
rnacentral:tRNA from 1 species